GACGAACGCUGGCGGCGUGCUUAACACAUGCAAGUCGAACGGAGUGGCGAACGGGUGAGUAACACGUGGGUGAUCUGCCUUGCACUUCGGGAUAAGCUUGGGAAACUGGGUCUAAUACCGGAUAGUGCAAGAUGAGCUCGCGGCCUAUCGGCUGGUUGGUGGGGUAAUGGCCUACCAAGGCGUCGACGGGUAGCCGGCCUGAGAGGGUGUACGGGGACAUUGGGACUGAGAGAGGGAGCAGACGCCUACGGGAGGCAGCGGUGGGGAAUAUUGCACAAUGGGGGGGAGCCGGAUGCAGAGACGCCGGGUGGGGGAUGAAGGCCUUCGGGUUGUAAACUCCUUUCGUCAGGGACGCGGUACCUGUAUAAGAAGCACCGGCUAACUACGUGCCAGCAGCCGCGGUAAUAC
rnacentral:rRNA from 1 species